GAUCAUUAUCGAAUUCGAGAUCGAGAGAGGGAUUGUAGCUGGCUUGUCUUCUGACCUGCAUGUGCACAUCUCAUCUCCUCGCCUUUCCUAUCUAUACACACCUGUGCACCUAUUGUAGAUCCCCUCUUGAAAGAGUGAGGGAACUAUGUCUUCAUCAUAUCACACACAAAUGUAUGUCUAGAAUGUAAUGUGAACUUCAUUGAUCAUUGAUUUGAUCUAUAAUGAAAACACAAACACAAACACAAUGUGUAAUACAACUUUCAGCAACGGAUCUCUUGGCUCUCGCAUCGAUGAAGAACGCAGCGAAUUGCGAUAAGUAAUGUGAAUUGCAGAUUUCCAGUGAAUCAUCGAAUCUUUGAACGCACCUUGCGCUCCUUGGUAUUCCGAGGAGCAUGCCUGUUUGAGUGUCAUUAAAUUCUCAACCAUCCUUCCUCUCUUGAUUAAUCUUUGAUUCUCAAUAGGGAGGGGGGGCAUGGCUUGGAGUUGGGGGUUGCUGGCAGGAAACUGUGAGCUCUCCUUAAAUGCAUUAGCGAUCGAGUUGGCUAGUCUUUUGACGUGCACGGCUUCAGGCGUGAUAAUGAUCAUCUUGGCUGGAGCGUCUUUUCUAGACUAUGUACAUAGUAGAUCGCUUCUAAUCAGAAUCAGAAUAGAAGAGUCAAACUAUCUCUAUCUAUCAAGCUUAGCUACUAGGCAGUCAUGAAUACAUGAAUAUCUGACUGGCGAACACAAGCAAGAAAGAAAAGAGAGAACUGUUUUCUAUUUCUAUUUCUAUUUCUACAUUGAGAGACUUGACCUCAAAUCAGGUAGGAUUACCCGCUGAACUUAAGCAUAUCAAUAAGCGGAGGAAAAGAAACUAACAAGGAUUCCCUUAGUAACUGCGAGUGAAGCGGGAAAAGCUCAAAUUUUGAAUCUGGCGAUCGUUUGGGUCGUCCGAGUUGUAAUCUAGAGAAGCGUCUUCCGCGUUGGACCGUGUACAAGUCUCCUGGAAGGGAGCGUCAUAGAGGGUGAGAAUCCCGUCUUUGACACGGACUGCCAGUGCUAUGUGAUGCGCUCUCGACGAGUCGAGUUGUUUGGGAAUGCAGCUCAAAACGGGUGGUAAAUUCCAUCUAAAGCUAAAUACAGGCGAGAGACCGAUAGCGAACAAGUACCGUGAGGGAAAGAUGAAAAGAACUUUGGAAAGAGAGUUAAACAGUACGUGAAAUUGCUGAAAGGGAAACGCUUGACGUCAGUCGCGUCCGCCAGGGAUCAACCUUGUCUUCAUUAGCUGGGUGCAUUUCUUGGUCGGACGGGUCAGCAUCAGUUUCGAUCGUCGUAGAAUGGUCGAGGGAACGUGGCACCUCCAGGGGUGUGUUAUAGCCUUUGAUCGCAUGCGUCGAUGGGGACUGAGGAACUCGACAUGAACC
rnacentral:rRNA from 1 species